rnacentral:rRNA from 1 species
AACGAACGCUGGCGGCAGGCUUAACACAUGCCAGUCGAACGCCCCUUUCGGGGUGAGUGGCAGUCGGGUGAGUAACGCGUGGGAAUCUACCCUUCUCUACGGGAUAGCUCCGGGAAACUGGAAUUAAUACCGUAUACGUCCUGAGGGAGCAAGAUUUAUCUGGGAAGGGUGAGCCCGCGUUGGAUUCGCCAGUUGGGGUGGUAAAGGCCUACCAGGGCGUCGAUCCAUAGCUGGUCUAAGAGGAUGGUCAGCCACAUUGGGACUGAGACACGGCCCAAACUCCUACGGGAGGCAGGAGAGGGUAAUACUGGACAAUGGGGGCAAGCCUGAACCAGCCAUGGCGCGUGAGUGAUGAAGUCGCGAGGGUUGUAAAGCUCUUUAAGAGGGGACUAUAAUGACGGUACCCACAGAAGAAGCCCCGGCUAACUUCGUG